AGAGUUGAUUCUGGCUCAGGAUGAACGCUAGCUACAGGCUUAACACAUGCAAGUCGAGGGGCAGCAUGAAGUUGCUUGCAAACUUGAUGGCGACCGGCGCACGGGUGAGUAACGCGUAUCCAACCUUCCCUAUAGUAGAGAAUAGCCCGGCGAAAGUCGGAUUAAUGCUCUAUGUUUGUAUUUUUGCGGACAUCUAACGAAUACCAAAGGUUUACCGCUAUAGGAUGGGGAUGCGUCUGAUUAGGUUGUUGGCGGGGUAACGGCCCACCAAGCCGUCGAUCAGUAGGGGUUCUGAGAGGAAGGUCCCCCACAUUGGAACUGAGACACGGUCCAAACUCCUACGGGAGGCAGCAGUGAGGAAUAUUGGUCAAUGGACGGAAGUCUGAACCAGCCAAGUAGCGUGCAGGAUGACGGCCCUAUGGGUUGUAAACUGCUUUUGUUGGGGAGCAAUAAGGUCCACGAGUGGAUUGAUGAGAGUACCCAGCGAAUAAGCAUCGGCUAACUCCGUGCCAGCCGCCGC
rnacentral:rRNA from 1 species